rnacentral:lncRNA from 1 species
CUCAAGGAUAGUUACAAGCUGAGUGACACUGCUUGUAGCACCACUGACCAUACAAAGGUGGAUCCCCGGUUGUGCGCUCUUUUUGCCGAGGAGGCACACCUUGUUGGCAUUGAAGGCCCAAGAGAUGAUCUUGCCAAGUGGAUGUUGGAAGAAGGCAAGAUGCAUCGCCGGGUUCUGUCUAUCGUUGGGUUUGGUGGAUUAGGAAAGACAACACUUGCAAAGGCAGUAUAUCGCAAGAUUCAAGGAAAGUUUGAUUGUCAGGCUAUCGUAUCAAUCUCGCAAAAGCCAGCUAUAAUGAAAAUUAUCAAGGAUGUGAUUGAUCAAUGCCAAGGUGGAUCCAAAGAAGAUACAUAUGAUUGGGAUGAAAGAAAAUCCAUUGAAAAGCUGAAAGAACUGCUACAACAUAAGAGGUAUUUUUAAAACCUCCUUAUAGAAGUCUUCAUUAUUUUUGCUAGUUAUUACAGUAUUACACCCCUCAGGCAUCCUUAUAUAAUUACCAACUGUACUGGAAACAUUUCACAUGGGUAACCAACUUACGCACACACCUUGCGUACAUAGGUCAUCUUCAUUAUUGAAACCUUGGUAAAAGAGGCUUACCGCAACAAAUGUUUGUCAUUCUUAAAAUAUUAACAGUUCCUUCGGAUCACGAUAUUAGCUUGAUUUGUUGCACUUGUAAUUCGAAAAUCCCGACGCGAAAAAGAAAAAGUAAAAUAGUGUUGCUUGCAAAAUAAAAACUGAUGUAUUCUUUAAUAAUGACUCAAACUACUCAAAUUUUGGCAUGUAGGCUUUGCAGAAAAAUAAACGUGUCCUCAGUUUACGAAAGAAAAAGUUAAAGCUAACACAUCUUAGACAUUAGCGAAUUAGUUGUGCUUACAACUUAAUAUGGUACCAAAAUCAAGUCUAUGUAUUCUUUUUCUUUUCUUGAAAGAUACAAACACUUAAUCCUAGGGUUUACUAGAUUCUCUAAAGUGAAUGCAACCCUAGUAUGAAAUGCAAUAGCCGAAGCAACAAUAGAUAGCAAAAAUGUAAAGGGGAAAAGAUACCACACGCGAAGACGAAUAUUUCACCGGAGUCCCACCUAUUGGGAUCGGUGUAAGUCUCCGUUUGGAGAAGUGCUCUACCACAAAGGUAGAGACGCCACGAAGGCUCACUCUAUUCUACAACUCACCACACCACGAAGGUGGGAUGAUCUCUCACAACACCACAAAGGUGAGGUGAGUUCCACUAAUGGCUUCCUUGAGGGAGAAUGCCGAACCCUUACAAACUUGACCGGGACAAACUCGACAACUCAAUAGGAGGCUCCCAAUCCAAGCCCCGAGCUCCCCAAUCACCAAGGGAGAACUCGAGGUGACCGCUUCCGUCUAGGGUUCCCAACAACCCAAGAGAAACGAAAUCCACAAAGAAAACAAGGGGAAUCAACUUUUUGACUUGGUGAAACCCAAGAUCAAGAUCUUCUCCUCCAAUCCUCAAAGAAUCAAGAGUUAUGAGUGACUAGGGAGGGAGAUCUUGGAGAUUUAAGCUUGAGGUGUUCUUGGGGUGAGAGGUGGUGUUCUUGGCUGCUUGCUUGGUCAUUUUGCUCGUUGGGGACGAGGGGUAUAUAAAUGGGGUCCCAAAAAAUCGAGCCGUUAGGCACUGGUCGGGAUAGGCCGGAACUUCCGCUGGGUAGCCGGAAGUUCCGAAUAUUCAUCGGAAGUUCCGCAUAUUCCUCCGGGACUAACAGAGAGCACCCGGAGGUUCGGACGAAAGUUCACCCGGAACUUCCACCGCCUGUGAACGAGAAAAGCCAGAACAAACCCCUUAAAAAAAGUUUUCUUCUCACAUCUUAUUGGGUAGGCUUUUUAGUGGGUGCAAUUUGGUGUAGAUGUGUACGUGAAAUUGAUUCACCCGUUACCUUCCCUUGUGGAUCCUCUCUUAAUAGUACGGAUGUCCUACGACUCAAAUUAACCGAAAAAGCCGCUAAACAUCAUUACGCUUCUUUUCUUUUUGAGGGUCCACAAAUCAUCUUGUGUCGAGUUCUUUAUAAAGCCUGAAAUACUUAGCACAAGAUUAGAUAACAAAACACGUUGUCAUCACCACCAAAACCAUUUAGGAAAGAAAUGCCCUUUCAAUGUGCAAGACCUGACUGUCUUGACCCUGGAAACAAAAGACCUACGACGUAAUACGCACGCAUCAAAAUCAAGAAGCCUGCGUGCAGAACCUGACUGUCUCCACCCUGAAAAGAAAAGACCCAACUGUCACAAUUUUAAGAAAAUCGGGGGCAUGCCAACUCUCCUUAGACUCAAUGGAUGCAAAUUAAUAGUAGUAUAACUAUAUGUAUUCUUAGUUUCAUACUUAAACAUUUGAACAAUAAUCUGCAUAUAGAAACAUAAACAACAAGUAAGGAUGCUACACUUAAUAAAACGAUUCUAGUACGUGAAUCAUAUGCAAUUUUGGAGUUCCCUGAUCUGUAAUCUACCUAUUCUAAAUGAAUUCCUUACCAUAAUUGGUUGACAUUUCUAGGUAUCUUGUCAUCAUUGAUGAUAUAUGGUCUGCAUCAGCAUGGGACGCUAUCAAGUCUGCUUUUCCAGAGAAUAAUUGUUCCAGCAGAAUUAUAGUUACAACACGUGAUGUUGAUGUAGCAAAAUCAUGUUGUUCGGGUCGUGAUAAUUGUUUGUACAGAAUGGAAGCCCUAAGUGAUCAUCAUUCCAGAAGACUGUUUUUCAACAGAAUAUUUGGCUCGGGGAACUGUUGCUCUGAUAUGCUUGAAGAAGUUUCAAAUGAAAUACUGAAAAAAUGCGGAGGCCUACCUUUGGCAAUUAUUAAUAUAUCUAGUUUGUUGGCAAACAGACGAGCUGUUAAGGAGGAAUGGCAGAAGGUGAAAAGGUCAAUUGGUUCUGCAUUGGAAAAUAACCGGAGUCUAGAGGGAAUGAGGAGCAUACUAUCCCUUAGCUACAAUAAUCUUCCACUUAAUCUCAAGACAUGUUUGUUGUAUUUAAGUGCAUUCCCUGAGGAUUAUGUGAUUGACAGAGAAAGGCUAGUGCGGCGAUGGAUAGCAGAAGGUUUUAUUUCUGAAGAGCGUGGGCAGAGCCAAUAUGAGGUCGCCGAGAGCUACUUUUAUGAGCUUAUCAACAAAAGCAUGGUCCAACCAGUGGACUUUGAAUAUGAUGGUAAAGUUCGUGGCUGUCGGGUCCAUGACAUGAUGCUGGAAAUUAUUAUUUCAAAAUCGGCCGAAGAUAACUUCAUGACGGUGCUAGGCAGUGGCCAAACAAGUUUUGCAAAUCGCCACCGUUUUAUUCGGCGACUAUCAAUCCAGCACAUUGACCAGGAGUUGGCAUCUGCAUUGGCAAAUGAAGACUUAAGCCAUGUUCGAUCUGUGACAGUAACAUCAUCAGGUUGCAUGAAACACUUGCCAAGUCUUGCUGAAUUUGAAGCUCUGCGUGUGCUGGAUUUUGAAGGUUGUGAGGAUUUGGAGUAUGAUAUGAACGGUAUGGACAAAUUGUUCCAACUAAAGUACCUCAGCCUUGGUCGCACACACAAAUCAAAGCUACCACAAGGGAUUGUGAUGCUAGGUGAUCUAGAGACCCUAGAUCUUAGGGGUACAGGUGUGCAAGACUUGCCAUCUGGAAUUGUUCGGCUCAUUAAACUACAACACCUGCUUGUUCAAUCGGGAACAAAGAUACCAAAUGGAAUUGGAGAUAUGAGGAACCUACGGGUGUUGUCUGGUUUUACUAUUACCCAGAGUCGAGUAGAUGCAGUGGAGGAUCUUGGGAGCCUGACAAGUUUGCAUGAACUCAAUGUAAAUUUGGAUGGUGGAAAACAUGACGAAUACAAGAGGCACGAAGAGAUGUUACUUUCCUCGUCGUGCAAGUUUGGCAGGUGUAAACUCUUGACCUUACGGAUAUAUAGCCAUGGUUCCCUUGAGUUCUUAGGUUCUUGGUCCCCACCACCAUCUUCCCUUCAAUUAUUUCAUAGUUUUUACUAUUUUCCGUACGUUCCGAGAUGGAUCACACCAGCACUCUGCAGCCUUUCUCACAUCAACAUAUUUUUACUUGAACUUACGGACGAGGGUCUGCACACUCUUGGGGAGCUCCCAUCCUUACUUUACCUGGAAGUAUGGCUCAAAACAGGACAAAAAGAUAGGAUUACAGUCCAUGGAUUCCCAACUCUGAAGGUGUUCAACAUCUUCCUCAAUGUUGCGUUACAAGUUACGUUCGUGAAAGGGGCUAUGCCCAAGCUCGAGGACCUUACUGUGCCAUUCCAUGUGUCAGUGGCAAAAAGUUAUGGCUUCUAUUUAGGUAUUGAGCAUCUCACCUGUCUCAAACAAGCAAGGGUAUGGUUGUACAACAACGGUGCUACACCUUCUGAGAGCAAAGCUGCUGCUACUGCGAUCAGGAAUGAAGCAGGUGUCCAUCCCAACCAUCCCACUGUUUAUAUCGAUGGGGUAACCAGAUGAAGAGGACAAUGAAGAGACUGGUGGUAAUGACGAGGAAAAGAGCAAGGAGGGGAAUUAAAACAUGGCCCCGCUGUUUUCUCCUUCAAGUUAACUAAUACUUGGUACGUUUCUUUUGUCCAAACCUGCUGAAUGGUUUUCAACUCCAGGACGAUGUGACUUUGAGGCUGGCUUGCUUGGAACGUCCAGAUGAAACGAUGAAAAACUGAAGCUGAAACCGGGCCGGGUCGCCUCAAAAAGGAGUGAUCUGAGUUUUUUUUUUUUGAUAUGUGCAUUUGCAUCCAGGAUUGUGGAUUGUUUCUGUUGAACACCUGUAUUGUGUUUGGGUUGUUUACUUUCUGGUAAUUAAGACCUAAUUAAGCUCCGUUUUUCAUCGAUCUCGGGAUUAUUUGUGUUGGAGUUUAUGCUUCCUGAUGGAAAUACUCUCGCUUGUUACUUGUUGUUUCAAAAACAAAUCCGUUGAACAAUCCUACUGUGGUAUAUGAAACUGAAGUAUGCUGGAGUAUAUGAAACUGAAGAAGAAUGUCUUCAUUGCUGCGUGCUCAAGGCAACUACGCGUGACUGCUGAUGCUUCUACUUCCAAAUUUUCAUAAUUUGGAAAUCGUAAUGGAUUCAUUCAUCUAUUUGAGUUGCUGGUGCUUCUACUUCCAAAUUUUCAUUGUAAUUCUUCAAAACAGGGCCGGGUCGCCUCCAAAAAGAGUGGUCUGAGUUGCUAGUAAGCUAUGUUCAUUUGCAUCCAGGACUGUGGACUGUUCCUGUUGAACACCUGUAUUGUGUUUCGUUUGUUUACUUUCUGGUGAUUAAGACCUGAUUUUGCAUGGACCGUGGGAUUAUUUCUGCUGGAGUUUAUGCUUCCUGAUGGAAAAUGUAAUGUUAACUACUGUGGUGAUCUAGAUGUAUUUUUUUUUCGUUUCAAAAAUAAAUAAAUCUAGAUGUAUUUUUCUGCUGGACACCUAAAAUAUCAUAUCACCUCAUAUCAUAUACUACUGGAGUAUAUAUGAAGCUGAAGAAGAAUGGCUUCUCUGCUGCGGCAUGCUCAAGACAACUACGCCUGACUUCCUUCGAAAUAUAAUUCAGUGUCGUGAUUCAGAUGUAUCUUAUUUCCUCCAGCCCAUAAAAUUAAGGCCCAGAAGGCACGAUCGAAGACAUCAUCGUCCAGUGGGCCGAGGGACAAAAGGCCCACAUUACACGAGCACCUCCUGGCUCCUGCCUCCCCCCGUCCACCUCACAUCUUCCACCGGCGAUGAUACUCCGGCUCGCCGCCGGCAUCUCCCGCCGCUCCGCCGCCAUAUCCCAUGAAGCGCCUCCUACGGCGCGUACUCUGUCCCCAGCCGGGCUCAAUCGUCGCCUGGACGAUGCGUCCUCCGGCUAUGCGGCGGCAUCGCGCGCCGAUCCCAUCCGUGGCUCUCCUCGACGCGCACCCAUCUGCUGGCCUCCCCCGCCGCCUCCACGACGCGGCAGGAACGGGAAGCCUCCGAAACCAGGUACUUCACGCUCUCUCAACUGUCUGCGUCGUAGCCCCUUGUUCCACGUACUCCCUCCGUCCCGUAUCAUCCGUCCCAUAUCAAGUGACUUUCUAUUGCAUGCAUCUAGACCCUUUUUAGGCAUAGAUACAUUCAUAUUUGAACAAAUUUGAGUCACUUAUGGGAUGGAGGGAGUAUAUAAUUCUCAUAUUCUCGAUAUCAUCUGUUCUGAAAUUGGUUCUUACUCUUCGAUUCAAAUUGAUGUCCAUUGGAGCUGACUUUGAAUCAGUAAGUAGCCUUUAUUUAUUAAUCGGUCAUAACUUAAAACACAGUUGUCGAAAUAAUUUCAGAGCUAAUAUGUAAGAUGCAAUGUGUUUUACUUAACUUGUGUUAUAUUGAAGCUGGAACAUGGUUUGUGUUCAUGUCUGCUCUUAAAAUGUGCACUCGCUGCUGAAUCAAACCAGGAUUAUGGUGACAUGACACUGCAGAUAUCAAAUUGUGGGUGCAUGCCAUUGACACCCUACCCAGGAGACCGAGCUGCGAAACGCGAGGUUGACGGCAAUGAGGAAGGAGUCCUCUUUACGCGUUCAUGUUUCAGGCUAACACGCGUUAGUCGUUGAUCCAUGGCAUUCACAUGUAUAGUUGCACGCUACACCUAUGAACAAGUCCAAUUAAUCAUACUGUUUUUUUAAUGCAACUACAUGUACAAAUUCCAUACACCACUUGUUAUAUAUAGUUGGCUUACCGUCAAUAUCACCUGGUCCAAAACUCUUGUUCUUAUUCUUCAAAUUGAUGUGCACUGGGACUGACCUUGAAUCAGUCUGUAGACUCUAUUGGUUCAGUGAUCAUAACUAAAAAUUCAGUUAUCGAAAUCAUUUCGUCAUCUCCUCUGACUUAGGUGUUCUCCGGUCUAGUAGAUAGACACUGUAAGAUAUGAUAUGCUUUAUGUUCUAAUAACGAAUAAUUGACCAUUUCAGUUUACUGUUAAAAUGUACAAGUGGCUAGCAAGAUGCUUGGCUUUAUUAACCUCAACACGUUACUACUAAUAAAUGAGAUUCCCCUUGCCAGAAGUCAGAACUUGGAAUCUGAAUUGUUUUUUCUUAAUUCUCGCUUAGAUCGUGUCUCAGUUUGCUUCAUCUGAAUAAUUAAGGUUGUUGAGAAAUUUUGAUUAGGUAGAUGAAUUAAGCUUUGCAACUAGCUAGUACCAACCCCAUUGCUUUGUCCUCUUCCUCCGUCCAUUCCUCUGCAUUUCCAUUUCCAGCGAGCUCACAAACACAAACAAGAGAUCGUUGGAGUGUGGCGAUAUGGAAUAGAAAAGCUGAUCAAUGGCGCAUGUGGUGAGUGCUUCACUUGGUGCAUUGGGUCCCCUGCUGUUGAAGCUCACGGGUCUUCUCACCAGCGAAUAUGGCCGCCUCAAAGGGGUUCGCUCUGAGAUCAUGUCCCUCAGAUGUGAGCUAUCCAGCAUGCAUGCAGCGGCUAACAAGUACACGAUGCUAGAAGACCCCGACGUCCAGGUCAAGGCAUGGAUGUCGAUCGUCAGAGAGCUGGCUUAUGAUAUUGAGGAUUGCAUCGACAAGUUCAUUCACCGCCUUGGCAAUGGCGUAUGCCAUAGCGGUUUCAAGGAGUUCUUGCGCAAGACUGCCCAGCAAUUAAAUACGCUUGGAGAUCGGUAUGGAAUCGCCGAUGAAAUCGACGAACUGAAGGCUCGCAUCAAGCAAGUGAAAGAGCUUAAGAAUAGUUACAAGCUGGAUGAUACUCCUUGCAGCACCUCUAGCCAUACAACCGUGGAUCCCCGACUGCAUGCUCUUUUUGCUGAGGACGCACACCUUGUGGGUGUGGAUGGUCCAAGAGAUUUUCUUUCCAAGUGGAUGUUGGAAGAAGGAAACGGCACAACCAAACAUCAUCGCAGGGUGUUGUCUAUUGUUGGAUUUGGUGGAUUGGGAAAGACAACACUGGCAAAUAAGGUCUAUCAGAAUAUUCAAGGACAUUAUGAUUGUAGGGCUUUUGUAACAUUAUCGCAAAAGCCAGAUAAGCAGAAAAUAAUCAAGGAUGUAAUCUCUCAAGUGUCAUGCCGAGAUGGGUACACAAAAAAUACUGAUGAUUGGGACGAAAGGAAAUCCAUGGCACAGCUGAGAGGAAUGCUGCAAGAUAAGAGGUAAUUUUACGCUGCUCCUUUUGUAAUAUAUCAUGUAUCGAAUAGUACUGCACCGUUCUCAGCCAUGCUUACGAUCUGUACUAGAAAUAUUUCACGCAGUAAAACAUGUCAAAACAUGCUAGCACAAAUGUUUGAUACUCUGAAACGAUUUAUAGCCAAUCCUCCAGUUUGCAAUAUUAAGUCGAUUUGUUUGCAGCUUUGCACUUAUAAUAUCACUGGGCGAAAAAAAAGAGAGGAUAAUGCAAAAAGUGCUUUUAGAGCACGCUCGGGCUCCAUGGAGCCCAAAUUUUUUAAAACACAAAGCUAAUACAUGCAGAUUGAUAAUGUUACUCAGACUACUCAAAAUUUCAAUCUGGCCUUUAAAAGUAUGCACUUAAAAUAUAUUUUUUGACUCUGUAAUGCUGAUCUUGUUUCCUGUUGAUGCUGUUUCUAUUGUAAACUAAGAUCAUUAGCAUGAUUUAUGUAUAACUCUCAUUGGCUGUUGGCUGUUGGGGCAAUGUCUUUCCUCUAAAAAAGCAUACAUAAACAUGUAGUUGAAAAGUAUGACUAUAUUGCCCAUAUUUCCUUGAUCACCUUAGCUUAACUGGUAGUGCCACAACUUAAUAUAACAUCAAAACCAAUAAUCCUAGGUUCAAGAAUGAAUACAUAUGCCACUCUGGUCCCUACUCCUUAGGCUGCAUGGAUGCAACUCAAUAGUAGCUAUAGACUGCUAUACAGUAACUAUACCUACUCUCUUUUUCAUGCUUGCACACAAGACACAUUUGCACAAUAAACUGCGUAUGGAAACAUAAGUAAUAAGUAAGGGCGACACACUUAAUUAAGUAGCCGAGUACCCAAGCCAUAUGUAAUUAAUGCCGGAGAGCUGGUGUCUCCAGAUCCAUUUACGUUUUCUAACUGAAUUCCUUGCCAUAUUUACUGGCUUUCCUAGGUAUAUUGUCGUCAUUGAUGAUAUAUGGUCCGCAGCAGAAUGGGAUGCUAUCAAGUACGCAUUCCCAGAGAAUAGUUGUUCUAGCAGAAUCAUUGUUACUACACGCAUUGUUGACGUAGCAAGGUCAUGUUGUCUGGAUGGUGACAACUUUAUGUACGAAAUGAAAGCCCUAAGUGAUGUUCACUCUAGAAGACUGUUUUUCAAAAGAAUAUUUGGCUCGGAGGACUGCUGCCCUGAUGUGCUUAAAGAAGUUUCAAAUGAAAUACUGAAAAAAUGUGGAGGCAUGCCAUUGGCAAUUAUUAGUACAUCUGGUUUACUAGCAAACAAACCGGCUAUUAAAGAGGAGUGGGAGAAGGUCAAAAGGUCAAUUGGUUUUGCAUUGGAGAAAAACCAAAGUCUAGAGCGAGUGAGUAUCAUACUAUCCCUUAGCUACGAUGAUCUUCCACCUAAUCUGAAGACAUGUUUGUUGUAUUUAAGUGCAUUCCCUGAGGAUUGUGUCAUUGAGAGAGAGAGGCUAGUAUGGCGAUGGAUAGCAGAAGGCUUUAUCUCUGAAGAGCGUGGACAGAGCCAGCAAGAGGUCGCCGAGAACUACUUCUACGAGCUUAUCAACAAAAGCAUGCUCCAACCGGUAGACAUUGGUUGUGAUGGGAAGGCUCGUGCCUGCCGGGUCCAUGACAUGAUGCUUGAAAUUAUUAUUUCAAAAUCGUCUGAGGAUAAUUUCUUCACUGUGGUAGGCAUAGGUCAAACAAGUUUGGCAAAUCGCCACGGUACUAUUAGGCGACUAUCAGUCCAGCACAUUGACCAUGAACUUGCAUCUGCAUUGUCAUGUGUUGAUCUAAGCCAUGUGCGGUCUCUAACAGUAAAAACUUCAGAUUGCAUCAAACACUUGCCUUGUCUGCUUAAAUUUAAAGCUCUGCGUGUAGUGGAUUUUGCAGAUUGUGAGGGUUUGGAGGAGUACAUUAUUAACGGUAUGGAAAAAUUGUUCCAACUAAAGUACCUCAGAUUGAGGGGCAGGAGCCUAUCAAAGCUACCAUCAAGGAUUGUGUUGCCAGAUGGUCUAGAGACCCUAGAUCUUAGGGAUACAUCUGUGAACGAGUUGCCAGUUGGAAUUAUUAAGCUGAUGAAACUACGACAUGUACUCGUUGCAGGGGAAACAAAGAUACCGAAUGGCAUCGGGGGUAUGAGGAACUUACGAGUGAUCUCAGGCUUUAAUAUUACCAGGAGUCCAGCAGAUGCAGUGGAGGAUCUCGGAAACCUGGCAAGUUUGGAUGAACUCAAUGUAUGUCUUAAUCAUGUAGAAUCUGAUGAGUAUAAGAGGCAUGAGGUGAUGUUACUUUCUUCACUGAGCAAGCUUGUCAAUUGCAAACUCCGGUCUUUAGAGAUAAUCAGUGCCAAUGGUUCCCUUGAGUUCUUAUCUUCCUGGUCACAUCCACCAUCUGCCCUUCAAAUAUUUUCUAUGUCCAGUGACUACUAUUUCCCAGUUGUUCCAAAGUGGAUUGGACGAACACUCACCAGCCUAGUUUCCCUUGAAAUCAAUUUAACUGAUUUAACAGAAGAGGGUCUAUGCAUUCUUGGGGAGCUCCCAGCUUUACUUCGCCUGAAACUGUCGCUGAAAACAGGACCAAAAGAUAAGGUUACAGUCAAAGGCAUUGGUUUCCCAAGUCUGAAGGAGUUCUCCAUCUUUUGUACUGAUGGGGAAGGAGCAUAUGUUACUUUUGUGAAAGGAGCUAUGCCCAAGCUUGAGAUUCUUAAGCUGCCUUUCACUGUGUCCGUGGCAAAAAAACAUGGUUUCAGUUUAGGCAUUGAGCAUCUCCCAUGUCUCAAACAUGCAGCGGCAUGGCUAAACAAGGGUGCCACACGUUCCGAAAGCCAGGCUGAAGCUACUGCAUUCAUGAAGGAAGUAUCUGCCAGUCCCAACUUUUCCUCAGUUACUAUAUAUGGUUAAACUGCUGGGAAUUAAAAUAGCAAUCCAUGGGCGGAUGAAAUAUUCAUCGUCACCAGUUGCACUUUCAAUAUUUGGCAUGAAAAAUGAAAGCUGAAACAGGGUCGCCUCCAAAGAGAGUGGUCUCAGUUGCUACUUUCUAGUUUGAGGAAGUACAAUUGUUUGGUCUUUUCCCUUGCUUACUUUUGAGGACUGAAACUUUAGUUUGCAUCCAGGAUUGUGGAUUGUUUCUUUUGAACACCUGUAUUUCGUUUCGGUUGUUUACUUUCCUGUGAUUAAGACUGUUUGUAUCGAUUAUGGGAUAGUUUCUGCUGGAGUAUAUGCUCCCUGAUGGAUGUAAUGUUAACUAAGUGUCACCUGUUACGUACUGUACUGCUUAUACUUUUUUUUGUUUGAAAAACACAUCCCUUAAGUAAUCCUAUUGAGGGUACUGAUCCAGAUGUAUUUGUGGUGGACACUUGAACAAUAUCAUGCUGUUCUGUUGUUGCUCUAUACUAGUGGAGUAUAUGAAACUGAAGAAGAAUGGCAUCUGCUGCAUGCACAAAUUUGUGGCCAGAGGUCAUAUAUGUAUUCUUCCUGAUCAGAUUUACACAUGUGACUUCCUUUUAAAAUCCUUUCUUCAAUUAAUUCUAUCGUCGUGAUUCAGAUGUAUUUGUGCUGGACACUUGGAUCUAUAGGAAACUGGACGGACGGCUGUCGCGGUUAAGUGCUUCCCGUAAUCCGGAAUCGGAUGGAUUCUCCUUGUCCGAUCCUUUGAAGCUGGAAGUCUUCCUUCUUCUUUUUGAAACAGUUUCAGAAAUCGAAAAUCAUACGUUUCCAACUGCAAAACAUAUGCAAACGGACAGCGCCGGCCCAAGUGUUUCCUCCAGCGUACAAAAAUAGGCCCACAUGGCACGAUCGAAGACAUCAUCAUCUAAUGGGCCGAGGGACAAAAGGCCCACAUGACAAGAGCACCUUGUUCCUCGGUUCCUCCACCUCUCUCUCUCUGCGCACCUCGCCUCCUCCACCGGCGAUGGUACUCCGGCGCGGCGGCAUCUCUGGCCGCUCCGCCGCCAUAUAUAGCCCACGAAGCGCCGCAUAAUACGCGUCCGCUGUCCCCCGCCGAGCUCCGUCGUCGCCUCGAUGACGCGGCGGGCCCCGCCGAAGACGCUUCCUCUGCCCUCCGCCUGGUCUCCGUCGUCGCCUCCGACGCCGCGGGAGCCGGAGCCGGAGCGGGCGGCUCCGAUCACGUCCAGAGACCAGGUACCCGCGACCUCGCUCCUCACUCGACCUAUCGAACCUAGAAAAUGUCUGUGCUGUAGUGCGUUCGGUACAGUUCACAACUCUGCGGAUCAUUCCAUGACACACAAAAAUUUCGCUGCUCGUCACUCUCGUUCGCCACUCCCCCGUCGAGUGAGAGUGAUACGGAAUGCACGGAGGGUGGAUUGUAAUGGAUUCAUUCAUCUAUUUGAGUUGCUGAUGCUUCUACUUCCAAAUUUUCCCGACAGUUCCCUGUUGAUUAACUGACUGCCGUGUUCUGUAUCUGAAGGUGGCCGUCCUCUUGGCUCUACAGAAGGACGUAGUGAGCUCCGACAUGACAUGUACCGGGAAAAUGUAGCAUCCGAGCUACACAGCUUGCUCACAAGGCUUGAGCAUGGAAAUGGAAGCUAGCUGCCACUAUUCUUUUCUGUUCAGUAAGAUUAUUUCAUUGCCUCUGAGUGCCUUUGGGUCAAGUGCAGUUCCAUUGCUGUCUUUAUAUGUUUAUUCAGAUGAAGUGCACCCAUGGUUGUAAUCUAUCACCAAUCACCGUGACUCACAUCCUGGGUUUGUGCAUACACCAAUUGCUUCUUAAAAUGUACAAGUGGCCGGCUGGCAUGAUGCUUGGUUUUACUAACCUGAAUACUUUAAUUCUAAUAAGAUUCUCCCUGCUGGCCCUGGACACGGAGUCUGAAUACGUGUGUUCGUUCUUAAUUCACUCUUACACCACUCCCCUUUGUCCCAGCAGUUCCAUUCACAUGCUAGCCACCGGUAUUCGUAAUUUAAAGAUUAUGUUAGGAUCUCUCCCUGAAGGAAUCUGACCCGAGCUGUUCUUAAUUUGCUUCUACAUGCUUAUAGCUACUUUGUUUGCCUAAUUCGAUGGGGAUGCACAUGCUAGCGCCUGACCUUGCAUGUGCCAGCCAUCGUUAGGUGUGGUAAGCCAAAGAAAACUUCUGCUUGCUGUCACCCGGCCUCUCUCUUUGUUCCUGCUUCACUGCUUGUCCUCCCAGUUCUUCUCCUCCACUCCAAGCACAGAAAAAUCAACACCAGCGAGAGAUGCUGUGAGGGCAUCAAUUAAUGGCACCUGUGGUGAGCGCUGCGCUGGGUGCGUUGGGUCCCCUGCUGGUGAAGCUCGGCGGCCUUCUCACCGGCAAGUAUGGCCGCCUCAAAGGGGUCCGCCGUGAGAUCCGCUCACUUGAAUCUGAGCUCAUCAGCAUGCAAGCCGCUCUGAUAGAGUACACAGAGCUGGAAGAUCCGAGAGGCCAAGUGAAAGCAUGGAUAUCGCUGGUGAGGGAGUUGGCGUACGACACUGAAGACGUCUUCGACAAGUUCAUCCAUCACCUUGGUAAGGGUAGCGGCCAUGGCAGUGGCCUCAAGGAGUUUUUAUGCAAGAUAACUCUCCCUCUGAAGAAGCUCGGAGCUCGACGCGCAAUCGCUGACCAAAUCGACGACCUCAAGGCUCGCAUCAAACAAGUAAAAGAGCUCAAGGAUAGUUAUAAGCUGAGUGAUAUUCCUCGUGGCACCUCUAGCCAUACAGUCAUGGAUCCCCGGUUGUGCGCUCUCUUUGCGGAGGAGGCACACCUUGUUGGCAUUGAUGGUCCAAGAUAUGAUCUUGCCAAAUGGAUGAUGGAAGAAGAAAACAGCUCGUCCAAGCAUCGCAAGGUGCUGUCUAUUAUUGGUUUUGGUGGAUUGGGAAAGACAACACUAGCGAAUGAGGUUUAUCGCAAGAUUCAAGGGGAUUUUGACUGCCGGGCUUUUGUAUCGGUGUCGCAAAAGCCAGACAAAAAGAGAAUUAUCAAGGAUGUGAUCAAUCAAUGCCAAUAUGGAUCUAAAGAAGAUACCUAUGAUUGGGACAAAAGAAAAUCCAUUGAAAAGCUGAGGGAAGUGCUACAAGAUAAUAGGUAAUUCCGGCUUAUAUUGUUUUCUUAAGUUCCUUAUUAUUUUAAAAAGAAUCAUCAUGUAGUUAAAGAAGAAAGAAAUGUGUAAAGUAUGAAUCAUCUUAGACUUAAGUGAAUCGGUUGUGCUUAUAUCUUAAUAUGAUAUAAAAACCAUGAAGCCUAUAUAUGUGCAAGACCUGACUGCCACAAUUUUAAGAAAAAUGGAGCAUGCCAUUCAUGUCUCAUGAGGCUCAUGCAGCCUUAUAUAGUGAUAAUUUUAUAACUAUAUCUACUCUUAGUUCCAUGCUUACACAUGUCACAUCUGUACAAUAAACUGCAUCUGGAAACAUGAGCAAUAAGUAAGGGUGAUACACUUAGUUAACUAUUAUAGGGCGUAAAGCAUAUGUAAUGUUGGAGUUUCCUAAUCUGUACGUCUACCUUUCCUAAAUGAGUUCCUUACCAUAAUUCGUUGUCAUUUUUAGGUAUCUUAUCAUCAUUGAUGAUAUAUGGUCUGCAUCAGCAUGGGACACUAUGAAGUAUGCUUUUCCAGAGAAUAAUUGUUCUAGCAGAAUCAUAGUUACUACACGCAUUGUUGACGUAGCAAGGUCAUGUAGUCUGGGCGGUGAUAAUCGCAUUCACGAAAUGGAAGCCCUAGGUGAUCUUCAUUCCAGAAGAUUGUUUUUCAACAGAAUAUUUGGCUCUGACUGUUGAAUGCCUUUGGGUAAAAUGCAGACAAGGCUGUCUAUGUGGUACUAACUGUCAAUCAAUUGCAUGAUAAAACUAUGUCGAAACCAUAUGUUGGUGCCUUUCGUGUGCUUCAUGUUUAGAAGAAGAAGCACAUACAUGGUCGUAUUCUAUUACUAGCGAUUAUGGUAUCUCACUUCCACGGUUUUCAAAAUUGGAGCAGGGGAGGAAAUUAGCUUGCUGCUGAAUCAAAUAGGAUGGAUCCAUGUUCUAUGGUAUGGUGACACAAGAGAGGUACCAAGCAGUGACAGAAAUGAAUGAUCUGCACCAAACAGGUACUAUGAAUCAGUUUUAGCUAGAUUAUACUUUUGUCGGGCAAGAUGCAUAAAUGGUUUUAUUAAACUGAACAAGUCACUGUACUGACAAGCUAGGUCCCCUGUCCCUAUCGGAACUUGUAUCUGAAACAGUGCAUAUGUAUUAUUGUUCUUGAUUCUCUUUCGACACACAGCACAAGUAGGACCCCAGAAGCUCAUGCUCAAAAAAGCCACCGUUAGGUGACUGACAAAGCUUGCAGCACCCAAUUUCUUGCUCCUUUCCUCCUCAAAGUGCUUGGUCCUCCAUUACCCUUCCUCUCCACUCUCAGUACACACACAAACACCAACGAAAAAUGCACUGCAGAGACGAGGAGUAGCCAGAGCACCCAUUAUUGCUCCUCCUUUCCUCUUCCCCCCUCCGCCAACCUCUGGAUCUCACACUGUGGCCUGUGGUGAGCUAGAGUGCAUCAAUGGCACCUGUGGUGAGCGCUGCGCUGGGCGCCUUGGGUCCCCUGCUGACGAAGCUUGGGGGCCUUCUCGCCGGCGAGUAUGGCCGCCUCAAAGGGGUCCGCCGCGAGAUCCGCUCCCUGGAAUCCGAGCUCAUCAGCAUGCAUGCCGCGCUGAAGGAGUACACGGAGCUGGAAGACCCAGGUGGCCAAGUCAAGGCAUGGAUAUCGCUGGUGAGGGAGUUGGCGUACGACACAGAGGAUGUAUUCGACAAGUUCAUCCAUCAACUUCAUAAGGGCUGUGUCCGUCGUGGAGGUUUCAAGGAGUUUUUAGGAAAAAUCGCUCUCCCUCUGAAGAAGCUUGGAGCUCAGCGCGCAAUCGCUGACCAUAUUGAUGAGCUCAAGGAUCGUAUCAAGCAAGUGAAAGAGCUCAAAGAUAGUUACAAGCUGGAUAAUAUCUCUUGCAGCGCCUCUCGUCAUACAGCCGUGGAUCCCCGGUUGUGUGCUCUCUUUGCAGAAGAAGCACACCUUGUCGGCAUUGACGGUCCAAGAGAUGAUCUUGCCAAGUGGAUGGUGGAAGAAGGAAAGAUGCAUUGCAGGGUUCUGUCUAUCGUUGGGUUUGGUGGAU